UACGGGGGGGGCAAGCGUUGUUCGGAAUUACUGGGCGUAAAGGGCUUGUAGGUGGCCAACUAAGUCAGACGUGAAAUCCCACGGCUUAACCGAGGAACUGCGUCUGAUACUGGAUGGCUUGAGUGUGGGAGAGGGAUGCGGAAUUCCAGGUGUAGCGGUGAAAUGCGUAGAUAUCUGGAGGAACACCGGUGGCGAAGGCGGCAUCCUGGACCAUGACUGACACUGAAAAGCGAAAGCCAGGGAGCAAACGGG
rnacentral:rRNA from 1 species